rnacentral:tRNA from 1 species
GCCCGAGUGGCUCAGUCGGUUAAGCAUCUGGCUUCAACUCAGGUCACGAUCUCGCGGUCCGUGAGUUCGAGCCCCGCGUUGGGCU